GCUCAGGACGAACGCUGGCGGCGUGCUUAACACAUGCAAGUCGAACGAUGAUGCCCAGCUUGCUGGGCGGAUUAGUGGCGAACGGGUGAGUAAUACGUGAGUAACCUGCCCUUGACUCUGGGAUAAGCCUGGGANDDUGGGUCUAAUACUGGAUACUACCUCUUACCGCAUGGUGGGUGGUGGAAAGGGUUUUACUGGUUUUGGAUGGGCUCACGGCCUAUCAGCUUGUUGGUGGGGUAAUGGCUCACCAAGGCGACGACGGGUAGCCGGCCUGAGAGGGUGACCGGCCACACUGGGACUGAGACACGGCCCAGACUCCUACGGGAGGCAGCAGUGGGGAAUAUUGCACAAUGGGCGGAAGCCUGAUGCAGCGACGCCGCGUGAGGGAUGACGGCCUUCGGGUUGUAAACCUCUUUCAGUAGGGAAGAAGCGAGAGUGACGGUACCUGCAGAAGAAGCGCCGGCUAACUACGUGCCAGCAGCCGCGGUAAUACGUAGGGCGCAAGCGUUGUCCGGAAUUAUUGGGCGUAAAGAGCUCGUAGGCGGUUUGUCGCGUCUGCUGUGAAAGCCGGGGCUCAACCCCGGGUCUGCAGUGGGUACGGGCAGACUAGAGUGCAGUAGGGGAGACUGGAAUUCCUGGUGUAGCGGUGAAAUGCGCAGAUAUCAGGAGGAACACCGAUGGCGAAGGCAGGUCUCUG
rnacentral:rRNA from 1 species